rnacentral:rRNA from 1 species
GACGAACGCUGGCGGCGGGCUUAACACAUGCAAGUCGAACGGAAAGGCCCGGCCUUGGGGGGGUGCGCUAGUUGCGAACUGGUGAUGAACACUUGACUAACCAGCACUUCUCUGUGAGAUAGCGUCAUGCAACUUAGGCUCAUACCGGAUAGGAGCUCCUGCUGCAUGGUCAGGGCUGGAUAGUUUCGGCGGUUGGGGAUGAACUCGCGUUGGAUUAGGUAGUGGGUGGGGUAGUGGCCUACCAAGCCGAAGAUCGAUGGCUGGCUUGAGAGGAGGAGCAGCCAGACUGGGAAUGAGACACGGCCCAGACUCCUACGGGAGGCAGCGGUGGGGAAUCUUAGACAAUGGGGGCAACCCUGAUCUAGCCAUGCCGCGUGAGUGAUGAAGGCCUUAGGGUUGUAAAGCUCUUUCAGCUGGGAAGAUAAUGACGGUACCAGCAGAAGAAGCCCCGGCUAACUCCGUG